GUGAACCAGUACCGUGAGGGAAAGGCGAAAAGAACCCCGGCGAGGGGAGUGAAAAAGAACCUGAAACCGUGUACGUACAAGCAGUGGGAGCCUCUUAAUGGGGUGACUGCGUACCUUUUGUAUAAUGGGUCAGCGACUUAUAUUCUGUAGCAAGGUUAACCGAAUAGGGGAGCCGAAGGGAAACCGAGUCUUAACUGGGCGUUAAGUUGCAGGGUAUAGACCCGAAACCCGGUGAUCUAGCCAUGGGCAGGUUGAAGGUUGGGUAACACUAACUGGAGGACCGAACCGACUAAUGUUGAAAAAUUAGCGGAUGACUUGUGGCUGGGGGUGAAAGGCCAAUCAAACCGGGAGAUAGCUGGUUCUCCCCGAAAGCUAUUUAGGUAGCGCCUCGUGAAUUCAUCUCCGGGGGUAGAGCACUGUUUCGGCAAGGGGGUCAUCCCGACUUACCAACCCGAUGCAAACUGCGAAUACCGGAGAAUGUUAUCACGGGAGACACACGGCGGGUGCUAACGUCCGUCGUGAAGAGGGAAACAACCCAGACCGCCAGCUAAGGUCCCAAAGUCAUGGUUAAGUGGGAAACGAUGUGGGAAGGCCCAGACAGCCAGGAUGUUGGCUUAGAAGCAGCCAUCAUUUAAAGAAAGCGUAAUAGCUCACUGGUCGAGUCGGCCUGCGCGGAAGAUGUAACGGGGCUAAACCAUG
rnacentral:rRNA from 1 species